rnacentral:rRNA from 1 species
AUUGAACGCUGGCGGCAUGCCUUACACAUGCAAGUCGAACGGUAACGCGGGGCAACCUGGCGACGAGUGGCGAACGGGUGGGUAUGCAUCGGAACGUGCCCAGUAGUGGGGGAUAGCCCGGCGAAAGCCGGAUUAAUACCGCAUACGACCUACGGGUGAAAGCGGGGGACCGUAAGGCCUCGCGCUAUUGGAGCGGCCGAUGUCAGAUUAGGUUGUUGGUUGGGUAAAGGCCUACCAAGCCGACGAUCUGUAGCUGGUCUGAGAGGACGACCAGCCACACUGGGACUGAGACACGGCCCAGACUCCUACGGGAGGCAGCAGUGGGGAAUUUUGGACAAUGGGGGAAACCCUGAUCCAGCCAUGCCGCGUGCGGGAAGAAGGCCUUCGGGUUGUAAACCGCUUUUGUCAGGGAAGAAACGCUCUGGGCUAAUACCCUGGGGUAAUGACGGUACCUGAAGAAUAAGCACCGGCUAACUACGUGCCAGCCGCCGCGGUAA